rnacentral:rRNA from 1 species
UCCCCUUAGUAACGGCGCACGUGAAGCGGGAAGAGCUCAAAUUUGUAAUCUGGCACUUUCAGUGUCCGAGUUGUAAUCUCGAGAAGUAUUUUCCGCGCCGGACCGCAUACAAGUCUGUUGGAAUACAGCGUCAUAGUGGUGAGAACCCCGUAACUGAUGCGGAUGCCCGGUGCUUUGUGAUAUACUUUCGAAGAGUCGAGUUGUUUGGGAAUGCAGCUCAAAUUGGGUGGUAAAUUCCAUCUAAAGCUAAAUAUUGGAGCAAGACCGAUAGCGAACAAGUACCGUGAGGGAAAGAUGAAAAGCACUUUGGAAAGAGAGUUAACAGUACGUGAAAUUGUUGGAAGGGAAACGCUUGAAGUCAGACUUGCUAUUCGGAGUUCAGCCGCAAGGUGUAUUCUUCGAUUUGCAGGCCAGCAUCAGUUUUUGGGGGUGGAAAAUCGUGGUUUGAAGGUAGCAGUUUCGGCUGUGUUAUAGCUUUCCACUGGAUUCAUCUUCGGGGACUGAGGAACGCAGUACGCUUUUUGCAAGGCUCUCGAGCUUUUCGUACUUAGGAUGCUGGUGGAAUGCUUAACAG